AUGAACUUCAGGCUCUUCUGUGUGACCUUAAGUCUCCUGUGUGCAAAACACAUGGAGGCUGCCAUCACCCAAAAUCCAAGAAACAAGGUGACAAUAACAGGAGGAAAGGUGGAACUAAGCUGUAACCAGACUGAUAACCACAAUUAUAUGUACUGGUAUCGGCAGGACCUGGGUCAUGGACUGAGGCUGAUCUAUUACUCAUAUCGUGAUGGCAGCAUCGAGAAAGGAGAUGUCCCUGAUGGGUACAAGGUCAUCAGACCAAGGACAGAAGACUUCUCUCUCAUUCUGGAGAAGACUUCCCCUUCUCAGACAUCUGUGUACUUCUGUGCCAGCAGUGAUACACAUCAGUGUGUGGCUGCCUCCCCUCUGCACAGAAAGUAA